AACAGAAAUAAAUGAGGUUAAGACGUGAUGUACAGUACAUCCACUCUGAUUCCAACACAGGGGUCUGAGAACCACAUACUACUGCCCACUACAAAUUCAGCAUUUUGACAGCUGGUGGAUGGACGGAGGAUGGACGGAGGAUGGCAGACUCCUUUACUCAAAGAGGCCCUUGUCGUUAUCCAUACACACACACACACACACGGGGGUGAAACACGCCUCAUUUACACUGCAUCUUCUCUGGUCCACCGAAAAAACACAGACGAUACUCUGUGUCACUCAAUAUGGGCCCCCUAUCUCCUCAACACUGACUACUUCCCUCCCAUCAUCCUUCUGGCUCUGGCUCUCUUCUGCCCUUCCCUGUCUCCCUUACAUGGCAAUAGUCCACCAGCAUGUAGGUAGAUGCCUCUGUGGUUCCUGGCUUGGGAUUGACUCCCUGUCACAUCAAUCCUCUUCCUCCAACAGGAGGUUUCCUUCACCAGCUUUUCCACUGCCACCAUCAUCUGUCACCACGACUGAGAGGAAGGAUGAAGAUAAUUACAAGACACAGGCAGCAGUAACUCACCCCAUAAGGUUAAUGUUAAUAACAUGGGUAGCCAGGAGCUGUGACUGUCAGUCUGACACUGUUCACCAAUUACAGCAAAUGACUGUAAACAAUCCAUCAUUAAAGCUGCUGUAGUCCACCUGUUAUACAAAAGAAACAUGAAGGGAUCCAUCAUACUAUAGGACCAAUAGUAAA